UGUUUUACUCAGCCUGUGGGUCAGGCUCUGUUGAAUGUAGCUGAUGCUGAGUACUUGUUAUGAAAACUGCUAAACAAAUAUUUAUGUUACUUUUUGGAACCAGUGACAUUAUUUUAUAGUGCAACCAUAAUUUUGAUGGAGCAACCAAACCUAUAAG